rnacentral:rRNA from 1 species
AUGGUGGAUCCUGAUAUUUGCACAGAGCCUUCAAGAGGACGGUGCGAGGUGUUGGCGUUGGACGUUAGCACCAAAGAAUUUGAGGUGUUGCAGGGACCUCGAUGCGACUAUGAUCGUGUUACGUCCAUCGUUGAGCUCCUAGGCAGCAUUUGUGUUGUCUGCUCCGACGACAGAGCCAACGCUAUGGAUAUAUGGACCUUGGAGGAAGGAGUGGAUUGGUUGUUGGGUCAUCGGAUCGAGCUCGGGGACGAGUGCUCGUCGGACGAGACUACACCAUUGGCUCUUCCCCAAGGUGACUGGAUAUUUCUUAACACAGGCAAAGAGUUGGGAUAUUACUACCCAAGGACAAGGACACUCACCAACAUUUGCCCCAUUGGACAACACUUAGAUGGCAUGGAGGUUAUCCCAGUACUCUCCAAAGAAAGUUUAAUCCGUCCGUAG